ensembl:piRNA 21ur-362 ncRNA
UGCCUCGGAUGUACCAUGGUU